rnacentral:rRNA from 1 species
GUGUCAGCAGCCGCGGUAAUACGGAGGGUGCAAGCGUUAAUCGGAAUUACUGGGCGUAAAGCGCACGCAGGCGGUCUGUUAAGUCAGAUGUGAAAUCCCCGGGCUUAACCUGGGAACUGCAUUUGAAACUGGCAGGCUUGAGUCUCGUAGAGGGGGGUAGAAUUCCAGGUGUAGCGGUGAAAUGCGUAGAGAUCUGGAGGAAUACCGGUGGCGAAGGCGGCCCCCUGGACGAAGACUGACGCUCAGGUGCGAAAGCGUGGGGAGCAAACAGGAUUAGAAACCCCUGUAGUCC